rnacentral:rRNA from 1 species
GAUGAACGCUGGCGGCGUGCCUAAUACAUGCAAGUCGAGCGAACAGACGAGGAGCUUGCUCCUCUGACGUUAGCGGCGGACGGGUGAGUAACACGUGGAUAACCUACCUAUAAGACUGGGAUAACUUCGGGAAACCGGAGCUAAUACCGGAUAAUAUAUUGAACCGCAGGGUUCAAUAGUGAAAGACGGUUUUGCUGUCACUAAUAGAUGGAUCCGCGCCGCAUUAGCUAGUUGGUAAGGUAACGGCUUACCAAGGCUACGAUGCGUAGCCGAGCUGAGAGGGUGAUCGGCCACACUGGAACUUAGACACGGUCCAGACUCCUAAGGGAGGCAGCAGUAGGGAAUGUUCCGCAAUGGGCGAAAGCCUGACGGAGCAACGCCGCGUGAGUGAUGAAGGUCUUCGGAUCGUAAAGCUCUGUUAUUAGGGAAGAACAAAUGUGUAAGUAACUAUGCACGUCUUGACGGUACCUAAUCAGAAAGCCACGGCUAACUACGUG